GGUUUUGUGACUACCGAGGGUGGAAGGCUGUAAACUCAGUUUUAUUACUGUUUGCCAGGGCCCAGGGAUGUGUUGAGGAAAAAAAAGAAAAAAAAGUUAAAGAAAAUGGUUAUUGAACAGAACGCGUCUAAAGAGAAUGGGGUUUGAAACACAUAUCAUGAAGCUACAAGCUCAGCGCCAUCACAAGCACAGAGGAGAGAGCGGAAGGGGAGAGGAACCCGCUUAAGGGAGGAGGAGUGGGUACUGAAAACCAUCUCGAGGAUAACCAAAGGCUGCUGGAGCAGAAUCAUCGUGAGCUCGUUCUUGUGGAUAAACAUGUUGAUUUCUGGGAAUAAAUCACAUAUGUCUGGUCUACUCACUUAUUAGCCUCCUGAAAAUUACAUUAUAGGGAUUUUUUUUUCUUUACAUCAUUUUCUCAAUUGCUACUUGGAAAUUGUCAUCACAGCAGGCAAGCAGUGCUCACUGAAAGAGAACCGGCGCUAUAGCUAUGUGUCUGUGAACAGGAAUACAUACAUACUUUGGCCAGGAGCACCGCUUCUAGUCCCCCGAAGGAGGGGGAGGAGCCAAGCUCACUGAAGACCAGCAGGGGCCAUGCACGCAGUCAGCCCAUCACUUGGCAGUGAGAGGCCCCUGUGUGGCACUCUGGCACAUAAAUAAAAAUGGUCUCCACACGAUGCA
rnacentral:lncRNA from 1 species